rnacentral:sRNA from 1 species
UAAUACAAAACAGUAAAAUAGAUAGCCUUAAAUGAAUAACAAGAAAAAGUUAGGUGAUAAAAAAGAAAGAAGGAUUUAAAAAAAAAAGUUGGACAGAAGACAAAAUUUAGAUAAUGUAACGAUAUAAUAUAUGUUAUCAAAAUCAUCACUACGGAAUCAUCCAGACUCUCCAUUUUGGUUCAACGAUUGUUUUUGGCUUAGGCAUUUGAGAAAUUGGCUUAGACGCAUGAUUAAUUGAAUUAAAAUAGAGUCAAAAUCGGAUUAUUUUCAGUUAAAUUCUGGAUAACUCAAACCGGAUGUAUAAUUAUCGGUUAACAGGUUGGUUCAAUUGGAAGCGUAGUUUUAAGAACAAAUCCGAAAGUACGUGUAGUUUUAUCAAAAUUAAAGU